rnacentral:rRNA from 2 species
CUUGGUCAUUUAGAGGAAGUAAAAGUCGUAACAAGGUUUCCGUAGGUGAACCUGCGGAAGGAUCAUUAACGAAUAUAAUUCAGAGGGGCUGUAGCUGGCUUCGGAAACGAGGCAUGUGCACGCUCUUCUGUCUUUCAUAACUCACCUGUGCACCUAAUGUAGGAUGCUCCUCCUUCGGGAGGGGGGACCUAUGUCUUCAUGCGCCUCUUCGUGUAGAAAGUCUUAGAAUGUUUACUAUCAGAGAGUCGCGACUUCUAGGAGACGCGAAUCUCUGAGACAAAAGUUAAUUACAACUUUCAGCAAUGGAUCUCUUGGCUCUCGCAUCGAUGAAGAACGCAGCGAAAAGCGAUAUGUAAUGUGAAUUGCAGAUCUACAGUGAAUCAUCGAAUCUUUGAACGCACCUUGCGCUCCUCGGUGUUCCGAGGAGCAUGCCUGUUUGAGUGUCAGUAAAUUCUCAACCCCUCUCGAUUUUUUUUUUCGAGGGGGAGCUUGGAUGGUGGGGGCUGCCGGAGACUAGGACCUCGUCCUUGACUCGGGCUCUCCUUAAAUGCAUUGGCUCGCGGUCGACUUUCGACUUUGCGCGACAAGGCUUUCGGCGUGAUAAUGAUCGCCGUUCGCUGAAGCGCAUGAAUGAACGUUCCGUGCCUCUAAUACCGUCGACGGCUUACUAUCUCUUCGGAGAGAAAAGCGUCUUCCUUCAUUGACUUUUGACCUCAAAUCAGGUAGGACUACCCGCUGAACUUAAGCAUAUCAAUAAGCGGAGGA